AAACCAACAGGGAUUGCCUCAGUAACGGCGAGUGAAGCGGCAACAGCUCAAAUUUGAAAUCUGGCUCUUUCAGGGUCCGAGUUGUAAUUUGUAGAAGAUGCUUUGGGUGUAGCUCCGGUCUAAGUUCCUUGGAACAGGACGUCAUAGAGGGUGAGAAUCCCGUACGUGACUGGUUGCUUUCGCUCGUGUAAAGCUCUUUCGACGAGUCGAGUUGUUUGGGAAUGCAGCUCAAAAUGGGUGGUAAAUUUCAUCUAAAGCUAAAUAUUGGCCAGAGACCGAUAGCGCACAAGUAGAGUGAUCGAAAGAUGAAAAGCACUUUGGAAAGAGAGUUAAACAGUACGUGAAAUUGUUGAAAGGGAAGCGCUUGCAACCAGACUUGCACGCUGUUGAUCAUCCGAGAUUUUUCCCGGUGCACUCGGCAGCGUUCAGGCCAGCAUCGGUUUUGGUGGGCGGAUAAAGGCCUUGGGAAUGUAGCUUCUUUCGGGGAGUGUUAUAGCCCUCGGUGCAAUGCGCCCUACCGGGACCGAGGACCGCGCUUCGGCUAGGAUGCUGGCGUAAUGGUUGUAAGCGAC
rnacentral:rRNA from 1 species